AGUGAACGCUGGCGGCGUGCCUAAUCCAUGCAAGUCGAAGGAAGUGGCGCACGGGUGAGUAAUAUAUAGCUAAUCUGACCCUUGCUGGAGGACAACAGUUAGAAAUGCCUGCUAAUACUCCAUAGCAAGGGAUGAGACUAUAUCGUAUCAGCUAGUCGGUGGGGUAACGGCCUACCGAGGCUAUGACGCGUAACUGGUAUGAGAGGAUGAUCAGUCACAUUUGAACUGGGACACAGUGCAAACUCCUACGGGAGGCAGCAGUGUGUAAUAGUGCGCAAUGGGGGAAACCCUGACGCAGCAACGCCGCGUGGAGUAUGACACUUUUCGGAGCGGAAACUCAUUUUGUUAGGGAAGCGGUACCUAACGAAUAAGCACCGGCUAACUCCGUGCCAGCAGCCGCGGUAAUAC
rnacentral:rRNA from 1 species